rnacentral:rRNA from 1 species
UCGUUCCUACGGGGGGCAGCAGUGAGGAAUAUUGGUCAAUGGGCUUACGCCUGAACCAGCCAAGUCGCGUGAGGGAAGACUGCCCUAUGGGUUGUAAACCUCUUUUGUCAGGGAGCAAUUGGCGCUACGUGUAGCGUUAUCGAGAGUACCUGAAGAAAAAGCAUCGGCUAACUCCGUGCCAGCAGCCGCGGUAAUACGUAGGGGGCGAGCGUUAUCCGGAUUCAUUGGGCGUAAAGCGCGCGUAGGCGGCCUGUUAGGUCGGGGGUCAAAUACCGGGGCUCAACCCCGGUCCGCCCCCGAUACCG